AGGAAUUUCUAAUUCAGUGACUGAAUAUGUACCUCAUACCAUGACAUAUACAUUGCCUUCAUCAGUGGAAAAAGAGAGAUAUGGUAAUAUUCUCCAAUGCACUAUAAAGAGAGCAAAGAGCACCAAGUAAUUAACUCAUCAGAGAUGGCGAAAUUCUCUACUUUGUGUUUGCUGCUUAUCAUCCUCGUGAUCAUCUGCGAUGAGAGAAUGGUGCAAAUGGCAGAAGCAAAAGACUGCCACAAAGUUUGGAACUGCAAGGGAGAUAACCAUUGCUGGGAAGACUGUAAAAAUCGAUACAGUGGAAAAGGAAUGUGUGACUUAUACACAGCACCUGGUGUUCCCAAGCAGUGCUUUUGUGCAUACAAAUGUUGAUGUGUCACGUUUCCAUCUUAAUUAAUUAUUGUACUUAAACCCAAGGAGAAAC